CUUUUUUGCUAUCUGCGAUACUCAAAUAUUCGAACCUGCAGCAGGUUCGAGUUGAGCGCAGCGAAACAACGGAGCCGCUCGCGGCGACGGCCCGAAGGGCGAGCGAAGCGAGUCAUCCUGCACGACCCACCA
rnacentral:sRNA from 1 species